AGCAGCCGCGGUAAUUCCAGCUCCAAUAGCGUAUAUUAAAGUUGUUGCAGUUAAAAAGCUCGUAGUUGAACUUCAGGCCUGGCUGGACGGUCCGCCCUCUGGGUGAGCACUGUCUGUGGUCGGGUCCUACCUUCUGGCGAAGCGGCAUGGCCUUAACCGGCCGUGGCGGGGAGCCAGGACUUUUACUGUGAAAAAAUUAGAGUGUUCAAAGCAGGCACGCGCUUGAAUACAUUAGCAUGGAAUAAUGGAAUAGGACAAUGGUUCUAUUUGUUGGUUUCUAGGACCGUUGUAAUGAUUAAUAGGGAUAGUUGGGGGCAUUAGUAUUCAAUUGUCAGAGGUGAAAUUCUUGGAUUUAUUGAAGACUAACUACUGCGAAAGCAUUUGCCAAGGAUGUUUUCAUUAAUCAAGAACGAAAGUUAGGGGAUCGAAGACGAUCAGAUACCGUCGUAGUCUUAACCAUAAACUAUGCCGACUAGGAAUCGGGCGAUGUUGACAAAAUGA
rnacentral:rRNA from 1 species